rnacentral:rRNA from 1 species
CUACGGGGGGCAGCAGUUAGGAAUAUUCUACAAUGCGCGAAAGCGUGAUAGAUUGAGUCAGAGUGCGUUUCAAAUUGGAAUGCUUUUGUCAAAUGUAAAAAGUUUGGCGAAUAAGGACUGGGUAAGACGAGUGCCAGCCGCCGCGGUAAUACUCGCGGUCCAAGUCGCAGCCAUUUUUAUUGGGUCUAAAACAUCCGUAGCUUGCUUCUUAAGUUCCUUGUGAAAUUUUAUAUCUUAAAUAUAGAGCGUGCAGGGAGUACUGGGAAGCUAGAGACUGGGAGACGUAAGAAGUACAUUCAAAGUAGCGGUUAAAUGUGUUAAUCUUGGAUGGACUCACAAUAGCGAAGGCAUCUUACGAGAACAGUUCUGACAGUAAGGGAUGAAGGCUAGGGGCGCAAAACGGAUUAGAUACCCGCGUAGUC